rnacentral:misc_RNA from 1 species
UCCUAUCCCAAACAAACUUGAUUAGGGGCAAUCUUCUAAGGUCGGUCGGUCCUCCCCGCUUAAUGUCUAUCUAUUAAACUCAGUCCUAACGGCGCAACUCAGAACGGGGGUUUCGUUCGUUUGUGGAAAUUAACCCUACGCUUCACAACACGAUCUGACGACAGCCAUGCAACACUUGUCAUUUUCCUACUUUCGAUUUUUUAUUGUAUUGAAAGAAUAAAAACAUGAUUAAGAAUUGGUAAGAUUUUCCGAGGGUAAUCAAUUUACACCACAUGCUCCACCGCUAGUAAGAGCUCCCGUCAAUUCCCUUGAGUUUCAACCUUGCGAUCGUAUACCCCAGGCGGACAAUUUAACGCGUUAGCUGUGAAAUCCAGAACACCAAAGCUCUAAAUUUUAAUCG